CGGCUGGGGGACGUUGGGGACGUAAUGGAGGCUUGGGGGACAAUGGGGACUUGAUUGGGAUCUUGGUGGUGAUGGGGGCUUUGGGGCCGUGAUGGGGAUGCGGUGACAAUGGAGAUAUAAUUGGGGCACUGGAGGCAGUGGGGAUGUGGGUAUGUAGGAGACGGGGGUGUUAAUGGGGAUGUGGAGAGGAUUAUGGGGACAUUGGGGGUAUAAUGGGGACGAAGUGACAGUGGGGGCAUAAUUGUGACAUUGGGGACAAUGGGGACAUGGAGAACAAUAGGGACAAGGUGGUAGUGGGGAUAUGGGGACAGUAGGGAUGAAGGGGGGACAAGGGGAAUGGAGAGUUAAUGUGGGCAAUAGGGGUAGGGGGACCAUGGGGAUGGGGGCUGUGGGAGCAUGAGAUGCUAGGGGACAGGGUGGCACUGGGGGUGGGAUGGCACUGGGGAUAGGAAGUGGUGUGAGGACAGGAGGUGACACUCCUGGUGCCGGCAGAGGUGGGGAUGGUGAAGUGGGAACAGGUGGUGGCAUUGGAGGCUGGUGAGUGUGGUGAUGUGGGGUUGGCAGGAGGUGUCAGAGCCUCCUGAGGUGUGGUUGGACGCUCCGUGACCUCACCUCCCUCCUGGGUGAGAUGGGUUGCUCAACAUGAAACUGACCCAUGAUGCCCAGCUGUGGGCAUCACGCCUCACUCAGCCCCAACUCCUCCUGAGCCACAGAAUGGCCAUGGGUGGCACUGGGUUGUGUCAGGUUGGGGGUUAGGGAAUGGUGGGCAUGGAACAGGCUGCCCAGGACAGUGGGCACAGCCUGAGUUGUGAUGCAAGGAGCUGACUUUUGGAAUUUGAAGUCCUAUUCCUGCUGUGGGAAUCCUCACCUUGCACAGAGGGGUGUGCCCAAACCUGCUGGCAGUGCCUGUGGCUGUUGCUUGUGCUCCAGUGGAAAUCUGCUACCCUCCAGCUGUCUUUCACUGGAUUACAGUUUCUGGAUGUAUUUCUCACCGGAGCACCAACUUCCAGAGUUCUGCAAUUACAUUUCCAUAUGUGUCUGAGCUGCCUGGAAGCCCCAGCAAUCCAACCAAAGUUUGGGGCAAUGGAAGCCUGUAAUGCCUUGCCUGCAAAAGAAGAAGACUGAGCUGCAUGGCUGAGAUUUUUCUUUCAUGCAACCGGAUCAGAGCAUGCCCUCACACCCCAAGUAUAUCUGGGCUUCUUGUUUCAUGCUGGUGAGUAAACAGGAUGUUGAUAUAAUUAACUUUCCUUUCAUCAGCCCUAUAGUAGAGUGGAAAAAAACUUCUUGGCACCGUUGGGCCAUUUGCAAUGGAAAGAUCCAGUGCCUGAUUUCAGGCUCCUUGCUCCCUCCUUCCACACUGGAGGUGGGAGGACUCAGAGGUAUCUGGUUGUACUGGGCUCCCUGUGAUGAGCUGCCUCCAGCCUCUGCUGCUGCUGGAGAGGAGGCCUGUGAGACCUGGUUAGACCUCAUUGCCAAGAGUUUACAUGGGGAGUCAGGGAUUUUGGGGACAAGGAGCCCUACAGAUAUGCCAUUUUGAGAAAUAAAUGUCCUCCAUGUCCUAAAGGAUGGACUGAACAUUGAG